GGCAAGAUGGCCGAGUUGGUCUAAGGCGCUGGAGUAAGGUUCCAGUCUCGAAAGGGGCGUGGGUUCAAAUCCCACUCUUGUCA
rfam:Aspergillus zonatus CBS 506.65 unplaced genomic scaffold ASPZOscaffold_1, whole genome shotgun sequence.